CCCCUAUAAAUAAACCACUCAAUUUCUUCCUCUUCUUCAGUCUCUCUUCCUUUCCCUCUCUCGAACAAGAAGACAACAACUCAAAACGCAGAGAAGAUCUCCAGAACGACACCGUUUCGUAGCAAAGAUGCUUUCUUCGUCUCCAACCUCCUUCACUCAUCCCUUCCUCUCCACGUCUCCGCCUCUCUCCCCCAUAUCCCCGCCGUCUUUAAAAAGCUUACUCAGUCACAAUCUUCUAGAACCGAAGUGUGGUCUAUUAGUCUCUACGUGGUGAUCGACUUGCACAAUGAGUAAGAGAGAUCAGUCGAACUAAAUUGUACAAGAGCUUAAACCGUGUGAGAUUUAUCUUUGAAAUUGUCAAUCUGAAAACACUUGUUUUGGAUAAUCUUCAGUAAAACUUCCACGUGAAAAAGGUUUGUUCAUUCAAAAAAGUUACCAUGCACAUCGGCUAGUUGCAUUAAUAAAAAUACAUACAAAUUUCAAAAGCUUUAUAAAAGUCAAAAUUCAAUGAGGGACACUUACUCAACUGUGGUUAAUAAUCACCAUCCCGUGAUUCCGGUUCUUUUAAAUUACUUCCUUGAAAAAUACACAAUAUUUUUGAAAAGAGUAAUCCAGUCGACUUCAUUAUUUGAAAAAUCUAUAUUAUUAUCUGAUCGUAAUCUAGUAAAUAAACGGUGUGUUGAUAUCAUUUAAUUUCUGUGAGAGAGAAAAAAAAAUCUACCACAAAUUAUAUAUUAUAAAUUUUCAUCUAGAAAAAGGAAAAGAAAAAAGAAAAAUUCACAUAUAUAUUUAAAUAGAUGUUUGUGUGGUCUGAGGCAAUCCUUAAAUACGUAGUAGUAGAGACUAGAGACUUUUCAUAUAGUAUCAUCUAAAAAUCUAUUUCUGUCUUCUCAUUAUCCAACAAACAAUGAAUGGUUGCAAUAAAGUCUCCAUAACAAAACAUAAUAAAAUAAAUAUCCCCUCUAUAAGAAGAAUCCAAUUUUGCGUUUCCGUAUUUAAAUAAAACCACAGCUUAGACAAUUGGUUCGUAGAUUUUUUUGAUUUACAAAAAAAAAAAAUUACUUUGAUAUGUAAUUUGUUUUUAUGUGACUAUUACAGCCACAGCACAAUUUGGCCACUGAAUAAAAUCUUACGUGCAUUCUUAUCUCUACCGCAAUAAUUCAAACUGGAUAAGGUCCUUCAUCUGACUCAGCUCCACAGGAUCCGACCCGAUUUUAGUCUGCUUAACCGGACCCGUCUUUUAAUCCAACUUUUAAAGUCUUUUAAAGGUCUUCUAACCUUCUAGUAGUAUGUAAUUUAAAACUAAUUGAGUACUAAUCACGCAAUUAAUGACUAAUCGCACCUUCCCCUAUAAAUAAAUAUCUCCAUUUCUUUCCCUCUCUCAAACCAACGCAGAACUUCGCAAACGACAUCGUUUUAACAGCAAAGAUGCUUUCUUCUUCUCCAACUUCCUUCGCUCAUCCCUUCCUCUCCUCUUCUCCGCCUCUCUCCCCCGCAUCUCCUCCCUCUCGCACGGCUCGGAUCUCGCCUCCUCUCGUCUCCGCCUCUUGCUCCUACACCUGCACGGAGG
rnacentral:lncRNA from 1 species